UACGGAGGGUGCGAGCGUUGUCCGGAAUCACUGGGCGUAAAGGGCGCGUAGGCGGCUCGUGAAGUCAGUGGUGGAAAGCCCAGGCUCAACUCUGGGUCGGCCACUGGAUACUCGCGAGCUCGAGUUUGGUAGAGGCGAGUGGAAUUCCGGGUGUAGCGGUGGAAUGCGUAGAGAUCCGGAAGAACACCGGUGGCGAAGGCGGUCGACUGGGCCCGAAGACUGGACGCUG
rnacentral:rRNA from 1 species